rnacentral:rRNA from 1 species
UACGUAGGGUGCAAGCGUUGUCCGGAAUUACUGGGCGUAAAGGGCGCGUAGGCGGGAUGGCAAGUCGGUCGUGAAAUCCCUGGGCUCAACCCAGGAAUUGCUUCGGAUACUGGCGUGCUUGAGGCUAGUAGGGGUCACUGGAACUGACGGUGGAGCGGUGAAAUGCGUAGAUAUCGUCAGGAACGCCGAUGGUGAAGACAGGUGACUGGGCUAGUUCUGACACUGAGGCACGAAAGCGUGGGAGCGAACGGG